rnacentral:rRNA from 1 species
UGGGAAUUUGGACAAUGGGCGAAAGCCUGAUCCAGCAAUGCCGCGUGUGUGAAGAAGGCCUUCGGGUUGUAAAGCACUUUUGUCCGGAAAGAAAUCCUUGGCUCUAAUACAGUCGGGGGAUGACGGUACCGGAAGAAUAAGCACCGGCUAACUACGUGCCAGCAGCCGCGGUAAUACGUAGGGUGCAAGCGUUAAUCGGAAUUACUGGGCGUAAAGCGUGCGCAGGCGGUUUGCUAAGACCGAUGUGAAAUCCCCGGGCUCAACCUGGGAACUGCAUUGGUGACUGGCAGGCUAGAGUAUGGCAGAGGGGGGUAGAAUUCCACGUGUAGCAGUGAAAUGCGUAGAGAUGUGGAGGAAUACCGAUGGCGAAGGCAGCCCCCUGGGCAAUACUGACGCUCAUGCACGAAAGCGUGGGGAAGCAAACAGGAUUAGAUACCCUGGUAGUCCACGCCCUAAACGAUGUCAACUAGUUGUUGGGGAUUCAUUUCCUUAGUAACGUAGCUAACGCGUGAAGUUGACCGCCUGGGGAGUACGGUCGCAAGAUUAAAACUCAAAUGAAUUGACGGGGUCAUAGCUGUUUCCU